CCUACGGGCGGCAGCAGUGAGGAAUAUUGGUCAAUGGCCGAGAGGCUGAACCAGCCAAGUCGCGUGAGGGAAGACGGCCCUACGGGUUGUAAACUUCUUUUGUCGGGGAGUAAAGAGAGUCACGUGUGACUUAUUGUGAGUACCCGAAGAAUAAGGAUCGGCUAACUCCGUGCCAGCAGCCGCGGUAAUACGGAGGAUCCGAGCGUUAUCCGGAUUUAUUGGGUUUAAAGGGUGCGUAGGUGGCCUUUUAAGUCAGCGGUGAAAGUCUGUGGCUCAACCAUAGAAUUGCCGUUGAAACUGGGAGGCUUGAGUAUGUUUGAGGCAGGCGGAAUGCGUGGUGUAGCGGUGAAAUGCUUAGAUAUCACGCAGAACCCCGAUUGCGAAGGCAGCCUGCCAAGCCAUGACUGACGCUGAUGCACGAAAGCGUGGGGAUCAAACAGGAUUAGAUACCCGGGUAGUC
rnacentral:rRNA from 1 species